rnacentral:rRNA from 1 species
UACGGAGGGUGCGAGCGUUAAUCGGAAUUACUGGGCGUAAAGCGCGCGUAGGCGGUUUUGCAAGUCGGGUGUGAAAUCCCCAGGCUUAACCUGGGAACUGCAUUCGAGACUGCAUUACUAGAGUAUGGGAGAGGGAAGUGGAAUUUCCGGUGUAGCGGUGAAAUGCGUAGAUAUCGGAAGGAACAUCAGUGGCGAAAGCGACUUCCUGGACCAAUACUGACGCUCAUGUGCGAAAGCGUGGGGAGCAAACAGG